CAAAAGAGUGGAAAGAGCUUUGAGUAGAGGUGACAAACCUACCGAGCACAGUUAUAGCUGGUUGCCUGGGAAAUGAAUAGAAGUUCAGCCCUUUAAGUUUCCCCCGUCCCCUAAGUAAUUACUAAAAAUGAUAAAGGAAACUAAAGGAGUUAAUCAAAAGGGGUACAGCCCUUCUGAUAGAAGAAACAACUUUAAUAGGUGACUCAAGAUCAUAUUAUUCAAGGACUUCAAUUUAAGUGGGCCUAAAAGCAGCCAUCUCAAUAGAAAGCGUUAAAGCUCAAAUUAACCCUUGUCCUUAUAUUCUGAUAUACUAUCUCCCUCCCUACCCACUUACCAGGCUGUCUUAUGCCCCCAUAAGAACAAUUAUGCUAAAAUGAGUAAUAAGAAGAAUUUAAUUCUUCUCCUAGCACAUGUGUACGUUGGAACGGACCCCCCACCAACAAUUAACCGACCCCAAACCCAGAGGGACUUAAAUUAUAUAAACAAGAAAAACACUUAUUAUAAAUCGUUAACCCCACACAGGUGUGCCCUAAGGAAAGACUAAAAGAGAAGGAAGGAACUCGGCAAACACAAGCCUCGCCUGUUUACCAAAAACAUCACCUCUUGUUAUACAAAAUAUAAGAGGCCCCGCCUGCCCUGUGACAAUAGUUUAACGGCCGCGGUAUUUUAACCGUGCGAAGGUAGCGUAAUCACUUGUCUUUUAAAUGGAGACCAGUAUGAAUGGCAUCACGAGGGCUUAACUGUCUCCCCUCUCCAGUCAAUGAAAUUGACCUUCCCGUGCAGAGGCGGGAAUAUUAAUAUAAGACGAGAAGACCCUGUGGAGCUUUAGACCUAAAAUACACCACGUCUAGUAUACUGUAACACCAGUAAAAGCCUAGUGGUUACAUAUUGAAGUGUCUUUGGUUGGGGCGACCGCGGGGUAAAACACAACCCCCUUGUGGACUGGGGAUAUUAUCCCUAAUACUCAGAGCCUCUACUCCAAGUAACAGAAAUUCUGACUUUCUGAUCCGGUAUUACCGAUCAACGAACCGAGUUACCCCAGGGAUAACAGCGCAAUCCCCUCUCAGAGCCCUUAUCGACGAGGGGGUUU
rnacentral:rRNA from 1 species